rnacentral:misc_RNA from 1 species
AAAGUCGUAACAAGGUUUCCGUAGGUGAACCUGCGGAAGGAUCAUUAUCGUGGGGCUUCGGCCCCGUCGAGAUAGCACCCUUGCCUUUAUGAGUACCUUGGUUCCCUCCCCCGUACCUUCGGGGAGCGGGAGGGACCUCGUCUGCUUCCCCGCGGCGGCGAGAGCCCCCCGGGGACCGCGAAACACGCUGUAAACGCCUGUAACCGUCUGAUAAACAAACAAAAAAUCAAAACUUUCAACAACGGAUCUCUUGGUUCUG